UUUCUUAUCUCAGGAAAUAUUGUAAUGGUAUAUCUUCGUGAAACACUAUAUAAAAUUUAGGUGUUUAAAAAAAAAUAAAUUAUAAUACAUUUUUUUUUUUUAUUUAACAUGUCUUAUUAUUUAAUCAAUUUUAGAUUGAUUUAAGACAAUAACUAAUAAUAAAUAAGCCAAAUCAUUCUUAAUAAAUUUAGUAUACAUGACGUAGAUUUGUAUUGAGCAUGUGUUAUACCAUAUAGGUAGGUAUAGAGUACUUAUAUCUAUACUUAUGGUCUGUGGACAAAAAGUAAUUUAAUAACAAUAAUUAAUUUGAAUUGAUAUAACGGAUGCAGUCUA